AAAUGCCUACAACAUAGCAUUAAUGCACCGAAUCCCAUUAUAACUCCGCAGUUAAGCAUGCUCAGGCUAGAGUAGUAUUACAAACAUUCGUUGAAUCACCAUUUUGAGCUUGUG
rnacentral:rRNA from 1 species